CGUCAAAUCAUCAUGCCCUAUAUGACCUGGGCUACACACGUGCUACAAUGGGGUGAACAACGGGAGGCAAGCGAGCGAUCGCAAGCGGAACCCUAAAAACACCUCUCAGUUCGGAUUGCAGGCUGCAACUCGCCUGCAUGAAGUCGGAAUUGCUAGUAAUCGCGGAUCAGCAAGCCGCGGUGAAUACGUUCCCGGGCCUU
rnacentral:rRNA from 1 species